GGAUGUGAGGGCGAUCUGGCUGCGACAUCUGUCACCCCAUUGAUCGCCAGGGUUGAUUCGGCUGAUCUGGCUGGCUAGGCGGGUGUCCCCUUCCUCCCUCACCGCUCCAUGUGCGUCCCUCCCGAAGCUGCGCGCUCGGUGGAAGAGGACGACCAUCCCAGAUAGAAGGAGUGUACCGUUCUUCGGUCAAGGAUGAAGCACCACUGAUGAGUAUUGGGGCAGCCUUUAUGGUUUGUCCUGUCCUAGUACUGGCAGGGGAAACUCACAGCCUUAUUUUUCUCUCCCUUCAAGAAAGAGAAGUCCAAAACCUGCAGCACUCCUGCUU